ACGCUGGCGGCACGCCUUAUACAUGCAAGUCGAACGAAGUAGCAAUACUUAGUGGCAGACGGGUGAGUAACAUGUAGGUAUCUUCCCUUUGGUGAGGAAUAACACGAGGAAACUUGUGCUAAUACCUCAUAAGUCUUUACGGAGAAAGCUUUACGCGCCGAAGGAUGAGCCUGCACUUGAUUAGUUUGUUGGUGGGGUAAUGGCCUACCAAGACUUUGAUCUAUAGCUGAUCUGAGAGGAUGAUCAGCCACAUUGGGACUGAGACACGGCCCAAACUCCUACGGGAGGCAGCAGUAGGGAAUAUUGCACAAUGGAGGAAACUCUGAUGCAGCGAUGCCGCGUGAGUGAAGAAGGCCUUUGGGUUGUAAAGCUCUUUCGUCGGGGAAGAAAAUGACUGUACCCGAAUAAGAAGGUCCGGCUAACUUCGUGCCAGCAGCCGCGGUAAUACGAAGGGACCUAGCGUAGUUCGGAAUUACUGGGCUUAAAGAGUUCGUAGGUGGUUAAAAAAGUUGGUGGUGAAAUCCCAGAGCUUAACUCUGGAACUGCCAUCAAAACUUUUUAGCUAGAGUAUGAUAGAGGAAAGCAGAAUUUCUAGUGUAGAGGUGAAAUUCGUAGAUAUUAGAAAGAAUACCAAUUGCGAAGGCAGCUUUCUGGAUCAUUACUGACACUGAGGAACGAAAGCAUGGGUAGCGAAGAGGAUUAGAUACCCUCGUAGUCCAUGCCGUAAACGAUGUGUGUUAGACGUUGGAAAUUUAUUUUCAGUGUCGCAGCGAAAGCGUUAAACACACCGCCUGGGGAGUACGACC
rnacentral:rRNA from 1 species